rnacentral:rRNA from 1 species
GACGAACGCUGGCGGCGUGCCUAAUACAUGCAAGUUGAGCGCUGAAGGUUGGUACUUGUACCGACUGGAUGAGCAGCGAACGGGUGAGUAACGCGUGGGGAAUCUGCCUUUGAGCGGGGGACAACAUUUGGAAACGAAUGCUAAUACCGCAUAAAAACUUUAAACACAAGUUUUAAGUUUGAAAGAUGCAAUUGCAUCACUCAAAGAUGAUCCCGCGUUGUAUUAGCUAGUUGGUGAGGUAAAGGCUCACCAAGGCGAUGAUACAUAGCCGACCUGAGAGGGUGAUCGGCCACAUUGGGACUGAGACACGGCCCAAACUCCUACGGGAGGCAGCAGUAGGGAAUCUUCGGCAAUGGACGAAAGUCUGACCGGGCAACGCCGCGUGAGUGAAGAAGGUUUUCGGAUCGUAAAACUCUGUUGGUAGAGAAGAACGUUGGUGAGAGUGGAAAGCUCAUCAAGUGACGGUAACUACCCAGAAAGGGACGGCUAACUACGUG